ACGAACGCUGGCGGCGUGCUUAACACAUGCAAGUCGAACGGAAAGGCCCUGCUUUUGUGGGGUGCUCGAGUGGCGAACGGGUGAGUAACACGUGAGUAACCUGCCCUUGACUUUGGGAUAACUUCAGGAAACUGGGGCUAAUACCGGAUAGGAGCUCCUGCUACAUGGUGGGGGUUGGAAAGUUUCGGCGGUUGGGGAUGGACUCGCGGCUUAUCAGCUUGUUGGUGGGGUAGUGGCUUACCAAGGCUUUGACGGGUAGCCGGCCUGAGAGGGUGACCGGCCACAUUGGGACUGAGAUACGGCCCAGACUCCUACGGGAGGCAACAGUGGGGAAUAUUGCACAAUGGGCGGAAGCCUGAUGCAGCAACGCCGCGUGCGGGAUGACGGCCUUCGGGUUGUAAACCGCUUUCGCCUGUGACGAAGCGUGAGUGACGGUAAUGGGUAAAGAAGCACCGGCUAACUACGU
rnacentral:rRNA from 1 species